rnacentral:rRNA from 1 species
UACGAAGGGGGCUAGCGUUGUUCGGAAUGACUGGGCGUAAAGCGCACGUAGGCGGCGAGUUUAGUCAGAGGUGAAAUCCCGGGGCUCAACCCCGGAACUGCCUUUGAUACUGGCUCGCUAGAGUCCGGAAGAGGGUGGCGGAAUACCCAGUGUAGAGGUGAAAUUCGUAGAUAUUGGGUAGAACACCGGUGGCGAAGGCGGCCACCUGGUCCGGUACUGACGCUGAGGUGCGAAAGCGUGGGGAG